rnacentral:rRNA from 1 species
ACAGCUCAGUAACACGUGGACAACCUACCCAAAGGUCUGGGAUAACUCCGGGAAACUGGGGAUAAUACCGGAUAGGUCAAGAGUACUGGAAGGGUUUUUUGAUUGAAAGCUCUGGCGCCUUUGGAUGGGUCUGCGGCUGAUUAGGUUGACGCCGGUGUAAAGUACCGGCGUGCCGAUUAUCAGUACGGGUUGUGGGAGCAAGAGCCCGGAGAUGGAUUCUGAGACACGAAUCCAGGCCCUACGGGGCGCAGCAGGCGCGAAAACUCUACAAUGCAGGCAACUGCGAUAGGGGAACAUCGAGUGGCAUCUACAUUAGGUGUCUGUCCAGCUGUCUAAAAAACGGCUGUUAGCAAGGGCCGGGCAAGACCGGUGCCAGCCGCCGCGGUAAUACCGGCGGCUCGAGUGGUGGCCGAUAUUAUUGAGUCUAAAGGGUCCGUAGCCGGCUUUGCAAGUCUUGUGGGAAAUCCAGCGGCUUAACCGUUGGGCGUCUGCGGGAUACUACAUUGCUUGGGACUGGGAGAGGUAGGAGGUACUCAGGGGGUAGGAGUGAAAUCCUGUAAUCCUCUGGGGACCACCGGUGGCGAAGGCGUCCUACCAGAACAGGUCCGACGGUGAGGGACGAAAGCUAGGGGCACGAACCGGAUUAGAUACCCGGGUAGUCCUAGCCGUAAACGAUGCCCGCUAGGUGUCACGGCAGUCGUGAACUGCCGUGGUGCCGUAGGGAAGCCGUGAAGCGGGCCACUUGGGAAGUACGACCGCAAGGUUGAAACUUAAAGGAAUUGGCGGGGGAGCAC